rnacentral:rRNA from 1 species
GGAUGCGAUCAUACCAGCACUAACGCACCGGAUCCCAUCAGAACUCCGAAGUGAAGCGUGCGUGGGCGAGAGUAGUACGUAGGAGUGGGCCGACCCCGUAGGGAACGUCCUCGUGUUGCACUCC